UGGGAACGCAGCUCAUGUAGUGACACCAUCUGCAACGAUCAUUACCAUUCUCUCCCCGGAAGAGCAUCACCAGUGCAACUGUUAAUCUGCAAUUAAGCCAGAAUAAUAAUUAAACCACUCAGUAGUCAGUACCCGGAACUUUAAAAUGGCUUCGUUCGCAACCUUUCUCUUGCAGAUAUCAUCUUCCAAUACCAAAUGAUUAAAAAUAAUUUUACACGGGGUCUCUACAUUCUGAUUGCCAAGAACUGGGAGUCGGGACAAUGAAUUCAUGGCCCACAACUUCUAUAACGAGGCAUUAUGAGAUACAAUUAUGUUCCCCUUUUCCUCAGCAAUCAUAAUCUGCCUAGGACCCCGGCAAACCACUUCAGAAUUUCAUAAAAUCAUUACUUAUAUAUAAUUUGUAUUGUGCUGUUGGUAUUCAGAUGAUGCUUUCUCCUAUGAAAAUGCAAUUAUUAGGAGUCACUCACCCUGCAAUUAGUAGAACCAGAGAGACCAGCCAUAACACGUAUUGAUGUGUCUUAUACUUGGAUUUUAUGGCGGCACUUCCAGGAAGGUUCCUGCCAUCAAGCCAUCCGUACCGAGGACGGGGCAACAAGACAAAACCAAGGAAGAACCCAGUGAGAAAUCCACCAAUGUGAGCGAAAUUAUCAACAUGCGGCAGAAUUCCUAUAGCGAGAUUAAUUGCAAUGAUGACCAAAAGAGUAAUCAAGGCUGCAGCCUACAAAACAACAUCAUCUAAAGGAGUAAGCAUGAAAAACUGUGUAUCCCAACCUACAGCACAAGAACUAGCAAUAAUAGUAGUAUAAGCAAAGUAAAAUGUGCAGACAACAGCUGGCCUCACUCACCUUGUUGGUAUAAAGACUCCAGUUAGUAAGUAGUUCUGAAAGCAUUGCUCCCAGAAGCCCAAAAAGUGCACCGGAGGCACCAACAGAGAUGCUGUUUCGAAUAAAUAGGCAGGAAAGAACACUCCCACCGAAUCCAGAUAACAGGUAAAUAACUCCAAUCCGCACUGUCCCAUCGUAACAAGAGACGUCAAAUAGACUAAAUUAAGCUCAAAAAUUAAAAACUGCUGUACCGUACAUCCGCCUUGGCCGUACAGCAGCUAAAUUACUCGACUUAAUAAAUUAAAUAAUUAAAAUUUAUUCAUCCUUUCAAAUUGUAAAAGUAUUUUUAGUCAAAAGUUUCAAUAAAUAAACUAAACUCAAUUCAGCAAAAAGAUAUUUGGGUACAGUUGUUUCUUUGUCAGAUACUCUAUCUUUCUUUAAAGAACUAGAAGUUGGUGAUUCUUCUAUUAAAAGCUCUUAAAAUAUCCAAAUUUUAUUUUCUAACUUGUUCUCUUAGUUAAUAUAACUAAUAAAUAAAAUCUGAAAAUUCACAUUAAAAUUUUAUGAAAAUAUUGAUAAUUGCUAAUAUAUCUUAUUUAUGUAAGUAUUUUUAAGUCUAGUGAUGAUGUUAUAUUAUAUUGACAUAUAUAUUUUUUAAUUAGAAGCUUUUUAAAAUAAAUUAAGGCAGCAAUAAAAUUUUAACACCCUAAUGUUUUCAAUCUAUUCAAUAAAUAUAUAAGUUAAUCAUUUUAUAAAAUAAGUCACUAAUUUCAAUUGAAAAUAAUAUAAUUGACUUAGGGACAUAUUUAUAAAUAAAAUAAAAACUUUAUUAUUAUAUAAAAUUAAUGAAAAUAUAUGGGUAAUUGAGUUAGGGACAUAUUUAAAUAUAAAAUGAAAAUUCUAUUGUUAUACUAAAUUGAUGAAAAUAUAAACAUAUAUAUUUUUUAAUUAGAAGCUUUUUAAAAUAAAUUAAGGCAGCAAUAAAAUUUUAACACCCUAAUGUUUUCAAUCUAUUCAAUAAAUAUAUAAGUUAAUCAUUUUAUAAAAUAAGUCACUAAUUUCAAUUGAAAAUAAUAUAAUUGACUUAGGGACAUAUUUAUAAAUAAAAUAAAAACUUUAUUAUUAUAUAAAAUUAAUGAAAAUAUAUGGGUAAUUGAGUUAGGGACAUAUUUAAAUAUAAAAUGAAAAUUCUAUUGUUAUACUAAAUUGAUGAAAAUAUAAGGUAGUUGAGUUAGGGACAUAUAUGAAAAUAAAAUGAAAACUCUAUUAUUUUACUAAAUUAUUAAAAAAGUAAGGGGUGUAAAUCAUUUUUUCUAAACUAGACCGGGCUACGGCCCGGUCUAGCCCACGUGCAGGUCCGCCACUGGCUGUUGUUUACUUGUCGUACUCAAAUGCGUUAAGAGAAAGAAAGCUAAAGUAUACACGCAAUAAUUCUAUUACGAUGGCAAAACGCCGAAAGUAAAAGCAACUACAAAGGUGGUCUCCCGAGUUUAAAAUCAUGAUAAAGAAUCAAGCAUGAAGAAAUCCAGCUUCUAAGCUAUAACUAUGCAUGCAUUUACAUGUGAACGUAGAGCUAGCAAUUGCAAUCUACACAUUUCCUUCGCAAUUCCAACUGGAGGUGGGAACGCAGCUCAUGUAGUGACACCAUCUGCAACGAUCAUUACCAUUCUCUCCCCGGAAGAGCAUCACCAGUGCAACUGUUAAUCUGCAAUUAAGCCAGAAUAAUAAUUAAACCACUCAGUAGUCAGUACCCGGAACUUUAAAAUGGCUUCGUUCGCAACCUUUCUCUUGCAGAUAUCAUCUUCCAAUACCAAAUGAUUAAAAAUAAUUUUACACGGGGUCUCUACAUUCUGAUUGCCAAGAACUGGGAGUCGGGACAAUGAAUUCAUGGCCCACAACUUCUAUAACGAGGCAUUAUGAGAUACAAUUAUGUUCCCCUUUUCCUCAGCAAUCAUAAUCUGCCUAGGACCCCGGCAAACCACUUCAGAAUUUCAUAAAAUCAUUACUUAUAUAUAAUUUGUAUUGUGCUGUUGGUAUUCAGAUGAUGCUUUCUCCUAUGAAAAUGCAAUUAUUAGGAGUCACUCACCCUGCAAUUAGUAGAACCAGAGAGACCAGCCAUAACACGUAUUGAUGUGUCUUAUACUUGGAUUUUAUGGCGGCACUUCCAGGAAGGUUCCUGCCAUCAAGCCAUCCGUACCGAGGACGGGGCAACAAGACAAAACCAAGGAAGAACCCAGUGAGAAAUCCACCAAUGUGAGCGAAAUUAUCAACAUGCGGCAGAAUUCCUAUAGCGAGAUUAAUUGCAAUGAUGACCAAAAGAGUAAUCAAGGCUGCAGCCUACAAAACAACAUCAUCUAAAGGAGUAAGCAUGAAAAACUGUGUAUCCCAACCUACAGCACAAGAACUAGCAAUAAUAGUAGUAUAAGCAAAGUAAAAUGUGCAGACAACAGCUGGC
rnacentral:lncRNA from 1 species